UACGAGGGGGCGAGCGUUGUUCGGAAUUAUUGGGCGUAAAGAGCGUGUAGGCGGCCAAGCAGGUCCGCUGUGAAAACUCGAGGCUCAACCUCGAGACGUCGGUGGAAACCGCUUGGCUAGAGUCCGGAAGAGGAGAGUGGAAUUCCCGGUGUAGCGGUGAAAUGCGCAGAUAUCGGGAAGAACACCCGUGGCGAAGGCGGCUCUCUGGGACGGUACUGACGCUGAGACGCGAAAGCGUGGGGAGCGAACAGG
rnacentral:rRNA from 1 species